rnacentral:rRNA from 1 species
CCUACGGGAGGCAGCAGUGAGGAAUAUUGGUCAAUGGGCGCGAGCCUGAACCCGCCAAGUAGCGUGAAGGAUGACUGCCCUACGGGUUGUAAACUUCUUUUAUAAAGGAAUAAAGUGAGGCACGUGUGCCUUUUUGUAUGUACUUUCUGAAUAAGGCUCGGCUAACUCCGUGACAGCAGCCGCGGUAAUACUGAGGGUCCGAGCGUUAUCCGGGUUUGUUGGGUUUAAAGGGUGCGUAUGCUGUGAGGUAAGUCAGCGGUGAAAUGCCCCCGCUCAACGGGGUGAAGUGCCAUUGAUACUGCCUUGCUGGAAUGCGGAUGCCGUGGGAGGAAUGUGUGGUGGAGCGGUGAAAUGCAUAGAUAUCACACAGAACACCGAUUGCGAAGGCAUCUCACGAAUCCGCGAUUGACGCUGAUGCACGAAAGCGUGGGUAUCAAACAGGAUUAGAUACCCGAGUAGUC